CGCAAGCCUGACGGAGCAAUACCGCGUGGGGGAUGACGGUCUGUGGAUUGUAAACCCCUUUUCUCUAGGAAGAAGUUCUGACGGUACUAGAGGAAUCAGCAUCGGCUAACUCCGUGCCAGCAGCCGCGGUAAGACGGAGGAUGCAAGCGUUAUCCGGAAUUAUUGGGCGUAAAGAGUCCGUAGGUGGUCUUGCAAGUCUAUUGUCAAAGCCCGCAGCUUAACUGCGGAGAGGCAGUGGAAACUGUGAGACUAGAGUAUGGUAGGGGUAGAGGGAAUUCCCAGUGUAGCGGUGAAAUGCGUAGAUAUUGGGAAGAACACCGGUGGCGAAAGCGCUCUACUGGACCAUAACUGACACUGAGGGACGAAAGCCAAGGUAGCG
rnacentral:rRNA from 1 species